UCGGUAUUAAUUAUUCAUUUUACAAAUUUACGAAUAUAGCUCUUGUUUAAAAGUACAAUAAUAUACAUGAGAUAAUAGUUUUAAGAUUAUAACAUAUUAUAUAGUAACAGAAAAAACGAACCAUAUCUACGGACUUACUGCUUUCAGUAAACCAUCAAUAAUCGUAGUGUUUGUAAUUGUUAAUGGAGUUUAUGUAUAGUGAAAAAAAUAAGAAAUUUGUCGUAUUAGAGGGUUUUAAAUUCAUAUAUCGUAAAAAAUUAGUAGUCAAUAUUGAACGUUAGACAUGUGUACCAGAGCUCUGCAUCGGCCGAUAUUUUUAUGCCCAACCCAGCUCAUGUCCCGUUAUGAAAAACCUGGCCUAUUAGAGCCUUUCGGUGUUCUAAUUUAUCCCGAAAUUGGAAUUUCAAAAAUAAACCCACCAGGCCUUGUCCAUUUUAAUAAAUAUCCAGUCCGGCGCAGCGAAAGCCCAUCCAAAUCCAAUCAGGCUCAGUGAAUGCCGGUUUAAGCCCAUACUUAGACCGAACUAUCGAAACAAUUGUAUAUAUUACAUGGCAAUAUUUCUUAUAUCAUUAUAUUCAACAUUCCAACAUUUAUUAUUUAAUAGUUACUAGGAAUCUAUUUAAAAAUAUACGGAUAGUUAAAAGAAUAAUAAUCUGUAAAUUAAAAAUGUCUAAUUAAUUAAUCACAUUAUUAAUAUUAUAGCUAUAAUACAUAUAAUCUCAAUACAUAGAUUACAACAACGACGACGCUAUAUGAUAGCUAUUUCCGAUGACGAUCAAUUUAAAAGUUAUCUAAUAAAUUUAUAAUUAAAUUCUAAAUAAUCCAAUUGGUACGUAUUAUGUAUAAUAUACAUUAAUAAUACAGUCGUCAGUUACAUAUAAUACAAUCUUUCCUCCCAUAUUAUUCAUUUUUGGCCGACCAAAAAUGUUUCAAUUAAUAAUAUAAAAUCCCAAUCCAUAAAAAGCCAUUUACUGUUCUAAUUUUUGAAACCCAAACCCUCCUAAACUUAAUUUAAAAAGUAAAGCCCAAUGCCCACUUGGACCCGUCCACUUAUGAGAAAUAGGAGAGGGAGAGGAGGUUUGCUUAUAAUAAUAGAACAUAGACUAUAUAUAUUGUAAACAACUUAGUUAAAUGGUACCUUUGGACUACCAAUGGUACCAAUGGACAAUUGGGAGGAGGUGGGUUAUGACUCCCUCCUGCGUGUACCACUAGUAUAGUAUUUG